CAGCGUCUGCGAAGCUGUCGGGCCUUAUAUUUCCUUGAACCAAUGCUCAACGAGCUCGGGCUUGGUACAUUGCCCGGCGAGCGUGAUCAUCUCGCGUCAGAUGAACCCAACGCUUGGCUGCCCUCGCCCACCUGAACCCCCGGUUCAGGAUGAGGGUCCGGCGGCAUUCGCAGACACCUU
rnacentral:sRNA from 1 species